GACGAACGCUGGCGGCGUGCUUAACACAUGCAAGUCGAACGGAAAGGCCCUGCUUUUGUGGGGUGCUCGAGUGGCGAACGGGUGAGUAACACGUGAGUAACCUGCCCUUGACUUUGGGAUAACUUCAGGAAACUGGGGCUAAUACCGGAUAGGAGCUCCUGCUGCAUGGUGGGGGUUGGAAAGUUUCGGCGGUUGGGGAUGGACUCGCGGCUUAUCAGCUUGUUGGUGGGGUAGUGGCUUACCAAGGCUUUGACGGGUAGCCGGCCUGUGAGGGUGAACGGCGACAUGGGGACUGAGAUACGGCCCAGACUCCAACGGGAGGCAGCAGUGGGGAAUAUUGCACAAUGGGCGGAAGCCUGAUGCAGCAACGCCGCGUGCGGGAUGACGGCCUUCGGGUUGUAAACAGAUUUCGCCUGUGACGAAGCGUGAGUGACGGUAAUGGGUAAAGAAGCACCGGCUAACUACGUG
rnacentral:rRNA from 1 species